UACGAAGGGGGCUAGCGUUGCUCGGAAUUACUGGGCGUAAAGCGCACGUAGGCGGCUUGGUAAGUCGGGGGUGAAAUCCUGGAGCUCAACUCCAGAACUGCCUUCGAUACUGGCGAUCUCGAGUUCGGGAGAGGUGAGUGGAACUGCGAGUGUAGAGGUGAAAUUCGUAGAUAUUCGCAAGAACACCAGUGGCGAAGGCGGCUCACUGGCCCGAUACUGACGCUGAGGUGCGAAAGCGUGGGGAGCAAACAGG
rnacentral:rRNA from 1 species